ensembl:lncRNA novel transcript
GGACUGAAAACAUGGCUGUUAAGAGAAGUAUGUGCUGUCGUAAGAGCCUGCAGUGAAGGAGCUGGCCUUGAUGAAGCAGCAGAACGUGAAAUGCCAAAACAGAUGGAGUUGCUUGGAUACAAGGAGAAUCUUACAGAAUACAAAUGAACUUGAAGGCAUUAGUAAUAUUUUCAAAAUAAUAGAGAAAUGACACAAAGAGUGAAAGAGGUGAAAUCUGUCUUUGAUGGGAAUAAUAUCUAAAAGGAGUAUUGUACAUAUCUGCUGGCAGCUUUAAAAAAAUUAAUGAUUACUGAAAUUCAGAAAUGUCAACAGUAUGAAAUGAGCAAAAUUACUUCCCUAACAAGAUUUUAUAAGAGAUAAAGUAGUGGGAUAUUUCCUUGAAAUAAUGUUCAUCAUCAAUGCUGAAGUUUACAGAGGACAAAAAUAUGAAAUCAUGUGUUCAUAGACAGCCCCAGGACACACACAGUGGAUGCAUUGUGUUCUCCUGGGUUGCAUAACUACUUUGAAAGAAGUUUUCUUUUCUGUGUCAUAAAAGAAGACUUUUUGGCUCUGCCAGGAUACUCUACCAUUUGGCCCCAUAGACUUCAAGCAUGCCUGAAGAUACGUGCCAAUGGCUUGUUGGUUUUUGAAGAUCAUUCUGAUCUCUGCUGAGUUACCCAACUGGACUCAGAAGGGUCUGACCCACGUGCCACAUUCCAGCUGUUUGCUUGUUUGUUUUUAAUCUCAACCUAGUUUAAUGGGAAGAAGGCUAAAUAAAUGGGGAAGCCAUCUUGUUUUCCACAUCACUGGCUCUAGCAUGCUAUAGAAGAUCACCAUGACAACAGGAGCUGGUUUGCCUGGUGUGAAGACAACAGUGUAGGCCUCAUUUCCUAGAUGCAUGUUUCUACUAAAGUUGAUUCACCAAUUAAAAGACUCUUUUCUGUCCUUGGGGGCUUCAGAGAUGCAAAUAGUGUUGGAAAAGCUGGCUGGUCAGCUGCUACACCUAGUAACUCCUCUUGAUUAUCUAAAAAUAAAAUGACUCUUGUUUAAUUUUUUUAAAAACUAGGUAUUUCUGAUUCCCACUGAGCUGGGAGUUAAUACUCAAAUUGAGAAGACUUGCUUGAAAUUGUGAACUACUGUCCUUGUUAUAACUUGUGAUUACUCUUUAAAUUCUUUAAAAAAGAUUAUUCUGAAUGUGUUUUUAAGCAUCCUAUUAUCACGUUAUGAGAUACACAGUAAUGCCUUGUUAACUCUUCAUGUCAUUCAUUAUGUGAAUAAGAAACAGAAUGUCAUGAUGAAAGUUUAAGUAGAUUUUUAAAAAGCAUAUAAAAAAUGUGUGAGGAUGACACAAAAGAAAAAUUUA